UGGGGAAUAUUGCACAAUGGGGGAAACCCUGAUGCAGCGACGCCGCGUGAACGAAGAAGGUAUUCGUAUCGUAAAGUUCUGUCCUAUGGGAAGAUAAUGACAGUACCAUAGAAGAAAGCUCCGGCUAAAUACGUGCCAGCAGCCCCGGUAAUACGUAUGGAGCGAGCGUUGUCCGGAAUUAUUGGGCGUAAAGGGUACGCAGGCGGUUUAAUAAGUCGAAUGUUAAAGAUCGGGGCUCAACCCCGCAAAGCAUUGGAAACUGAUAAACUUGAGUAGUGGAGAGGAAAGUGGAAUUCCUAGUGUAGUGGUGAAAUACGUAGAUAUUAGGAGGAAUACCAGUAGCGAAGGCGACUUUCUGGACACAAACUGACGCUGAGGUACGAAAGCGUGGGGAGCAAACAGG
rnacentral:rRNA from 1 species